GUGCGUAAUAGCUCACUAGUCGAGUGACCCUGCGCCGAAAAUGUACCGGGGCUAAAACAAUUUACCGAAGCUGUGGAUAACACAUUAGUGUUAUGGUAGGAGAGCGUUCUAUGUGUGAAGAAGGUAUACCGUGAGGAGUGCUGGAACGCAUAGAAGUGAGAAUGCCGGUAUGAGUAGCGAAAGAUGGGUGAGAAUCCCAUCCACCGUAAGACUAAGGUUUCCAGGGGAAGGCUCGUCCGCCCUGGGUUAGUCGGGACCUAAGGAGAGACCGAAGGGUGUAUCCGAUGGACAACAGGUUGAUAUUCCUGUACUAGAGUAUGAAGUGAUGGAGGGACGCAGUAGGCUAACUAAAGCGGGCGAUUGGAAGAGCCCGUCUAAGCAGUGAGGUGUGAUAUGAGUCAAAUGCUUGUAUCUGUAACAUUGAGCUGUGAUGGGGAGCGAAGUUAAGUAGCGAAGUUAGUGACGUCACACUGCCGAGAAAAGCUUCUAGCGAUGUAUCAUACUCUACCCGUACCGCAAACCGACACAGGUAGUCGAGGCGAGUAGCCUCAGGUGAGCGAGAGAACUCUCGUUAAGGAACUCGGCAAAAUGACCCCGUAACUUCGGGAGAAGGGGUGCUGACUUAAAGUCAGCCGCAGUGAAUAGGCCCAAGCAA
rnacentral:rRNA from 1 species